UUAGGAAUCUUCCACAAUGGGCGAAAGCCUGAUGGAGCGACGCCGCGUGAGGGAUGAAGGCCUUAGGGUUGUAAACCUCUAAAAGAGGGACGAUAAUGACGGUACCUCUUGAAUAGCACCGGCUAACUCCGUGCCAGCAGCCGCGGUAAUACGGAGGGUGCAAGCGUUAUCCGGAAUCACUGGGCGUAAAGGGCGCGUAGGCGGUCUGUUAAGUCCGAUGUUAAAUCCCGGGGCUCAGCCCCGGAUAAGCGUUGGAUACUGGCAUGCUAGACGGUUGGAGAGGCGAGUGGAAUUACCAGUGUAGCGGUGGAAUGCGUAGAUACUGGUAGGAACACCCAUUGCGAAGGCAGCUCGCUGGACAACACGUGACGCUGAGGCGCGAAAGUGUGGGGAGCAAACC
rnacentral:rRNA from 1 species